AACGAACGCCGGCGGCAUGCCUAACACAUGCAAGUCGAACGAGACCUUCGGGUCUAGUGGCGCACGGGUGCGUAACGCGUGGGAACCUGCCCUUAGGUUCGGAAUAACUCCCCGAAAGGGGUGCUAAUACCGGAUAAUGUCUUCGGACCAAAGAUUUAUCGCCUUUGGAUGGGCCCGCGUUGGAUUAGCUAGUUGGUAGGGUAAAAGCCUACCAAGGCGACGAUCCAUAGCUGGUCUGAGAGGAUGAUCAGCCACACUGGGACUGAGACACGGCCCAGACUCCUACGGGAGGCAGCAGUGGGGAAUAUUGGACAAUGGGCGAAAGCCUGAUCCAGCAAUGCCGCGUGAGUGAUGAAGGCCUUAGGGUUGUAAAGCUCUUUUACCCGGGAUGAUAAUGACAGUACCGGGAGAAUAAGCACCGGCUAACUCCGUG
rnacentral:rRNA from 1 species